GAUGAACGCUGGCGGCGUGCCUAAUACAUGCAAGUCGAGCGAACGGACGAGAAGCUUGCUUCUCUGAUGUUAGCGGCGGACGGGUGAGUAACACGUGGAUAACCUACCUAUAAGACUGGGAUAACUUCGGGAAACCGUAGCUAAUACCGGAUAAUAUUUUGAACCGCAUGGUUCAAAAGUGAAAGACGGUCUUGCUGUCACUUAUAGAUGGAUCCGCGCUGCAUUAGCUAGUUGGUAAGGUAACGGCUUACCAAGGCAACGAUGCAUAGCCGACCUGAGAGGGGGAUCGGCCACACUGGAACUGAGACACGGUCCAGACUCCUACGGGAGGCAGCAGGAGGGAAUCGUCCGCAAUGGGCGAAAGCCUGACGGAGCAACGCCGCGUGAGUGAUGAAGGUGUUCGGAUCGUAAAACUCUGUUAUUAGGGAAGAACAUAUGUGUAAGUAAAUGUGCACAUCUCGACGGUACCUAAUCAGAAAGCCACGGCUAACUACGUG
rnacentral:rRNA from 1 species